GUUGCUCUAGUGGAUGAGUUUUGGGUGCUUCUUGGUUAUUGUAUAUUCACAAUGGCACUAUACAUGCAUUUUGCAACCUCAGUCAUUCAUGAAAUCACUACUGCACUUGGAAUCUACUGCUUCAGGAUUACACGUAAGGAAGCUUGAAGGAAGCUCAAGGGAGGAUAAUGCAAAUCCCAACACGAAUCUUAAUAUUAUUUUUCACUGAA